rnacentral:rRNA from 1 species
UACGUAGGGUGCGAGCGUUGUCCGGAAUUAUUGGGCGUAAAGAGCUUGUAGGCGGUCUGUCGCGUCUGCUGUGAAAAUCCGGGGCUCAACCCCGGACUUGCAGUGGGUACGGGCAGACUAGAGUGUGGUAGGGGAGACUGGAAUUCCUGGUGUAGCGGUGAAAUGCGUAGAUAUCGGGAGGAACACCAGUGGCGAAGGCGACUACCUGGCCUGUUCUUGACGCUGAGGCGCGAAAGCUAGGGGAGCAAACAGG